UUGAAAUAAACCUGAUGGGUUGUUGCUGGCUCUCUAGGGAGCAUGUGCACGCUUGUCAUCUUUAUAUCUCCACCUGUGCACCUUUUGUAGACCUGGAUAAUCUUUCUGAAUGCACUUGCAUUUCAGGUUUGAGGAAUUGACUUUUAUGUCUCUCCUUACAUUUCCAGGCCUAUGUUUCUUCAUAUACCCCUAUGUAUGUUUUAGAAUGUAACGGAUGGGCCUUUUGUGCCUAUAAAUUUAUA
rnacentral:misc_RNA from 1 species